rnacentral:rRNA from 1 species
GUGGGGAAUAUUGGACAAUGGGCGCAAGCCUGAUCCAGCCAUGCCGCGUGUGUGAAGAAGGCCUUCGGGUUGUAAAGCACUUUUGUUGGGAAAGAAAUCCUGUCGGCUAAUACCCGGCGGGGAUGACGGUACCCAAAGAAUAAGCACCGGCUAACUUCGUGCCAGCAGCCGCGGUAAUACGAAGGGUGCAAGCGUUACUCGGAAUUACUGGGCGUAAAGCGUGCGUAGGUGGUUCGUUAAGUCAGAUGUGAAAGCCCCGGGCUCAACCGGGGAAUUGCAUUUGAUACUGGCGGACUAGAGUGCGGUAGAGGAGAGUGGAAUUCCCGGUGUAGCAGUGAAAUGCGUAGAGAUCGGGAGGAACAUCAGUUGCGAAGGCGGCUCUCUGGACCAGCACUGACACUGAGGCACGAAAGCGUGGGGAGCAAACAGGAUUAGAAACCCCAGUAGUCC